rnacentral:rRNA from 1 species
GAUGAACGCUGGCGGCGUGCCUAAUACAUGCAAGUCGAGCGAACUUUUGGGAGCUUUCUCCCUCUAGUUAUCGGCGGACGGGUGAGUAACACGUGUGUAACCUGCCUGUAAGACUGGGAUAACUUCUGGAAACCGGAGCUCAUACCGGAUAACAUUUAAUACCACAUGGCCUUCAAUUAAAAAAUGGCUUUUAGCUACCACUUACAGAUGGACCCGCGCCGCAUUAGCUAGUUGGUAAGGUAACGGCUUACCAAGGCAACGAUGCGUAGCCGACCUGAGAGGUGAACCGGCAACCUGGGAAUGGGACACGGGCCCGAAUUCCACGGGGGGGAAGCAGAGGGGAUCUUUCGGCAAGGGGGAAAGGCUGGAGGGAGCACGGCGGGGGGGGGGAGGAGGGUCUUGGGUUGGAAAGCUCCGUUGUUAGGGAAGAAAAAGAAGCGUACGAAUCGGGGGAUAUCUUGACGGUACCUAAUCAGAAAGCCACGGCUAACUACGUG